rnacentral:rRNA from 1 species
GGCUAAAUACUCCUGACUGACCGAUAGUGAACCAGUACCGUGAGGGAAAGGCGAAAAGAACCCCGGCGAGGGGAGUGAAAAAGAACCUGAAACCGUGUACGUACAAGCAGUGGGAGCACCCUUUGGGGUGUGACUGCGUACCUUUUGUAUAAUGGGUCAGCGACUUAUAUUCUGUAGCAAGGUUAACCGAAUAGGGGAGCCGGAGGGAAACCGAGUCUUAAUUGGGCGUUAAGUUGCAGGGUAUAGACCCGAAACCCGGUGAUCUAGCCAUGGGCAGGUUGAAGGUUGGGUAACACUAACUGGAGGACCGAACCGACUAAUGUUGAAAAAUUAGCGGAUGACCUGUGGCUGGGGGUGAAAGGCCAAUCAAACCGGGAGAUAGCUGGUUCUCCCCGAAAGCUAUUUAGGUAGCGCCUCGUGAAUUCAUCUCCGGGGGUAGAGCACUGUUUCGGCUAGGGGGCCAUCCCGGCUUACCAACCCGAUGCAAACUGCGAAUACCGGAGAAUGUUAUCACGGGAGACACACGGCGGGUGCUAACGUCCGUCGUGAAGAGGGAAACAACCCAGACCGCCAGCUAAGGUCCCAAAGUCAUAGUUAAGUGGGAAACGAUGUGGGAAGGCCCAGACAGCCAGGAUGUUGGCUUAGAAGCAGCCAUCAUUUAAAGAAAGCGUAAUAGCUCACUGGUCGAGUCGGCCUGCGCGGAAGAUGUAACGGGGCUAAACUAUGCACCGAAGCUGCGGCAGCGACACUAUGUGUUGUUGGGUAGGGGAGCGUUCUGUAAGCCUGUGAAGGUGUGUCGUGAGGCAUGCUGGAGGUAUCAGAAGUGCGAAUGCUGACAUAAGUAACGAUAAAGCGGGUGAAAAGCCCGCUCGCCGGAAGACCAAGGGUUCCUGUCCAACGUUAAUCGGGGCAGGGUGAGUCGACCCCUAAGGCGAGGCCGAAAGGCGUAGUCGAUGGGAAACGGGUUAAUAUUCCCGUACUUGGUGUUACUGCGAAGGGGGGACGGAGAAGGCUAUGUUGGCCGGGCGACGGUUGUCCCGGUUUAAGCGUGUAGGUGUGUGUUCCAGGUAAAUCCGGUUCACUUUAACACUGAGGCGUGAUGACGAGGCACUACGGUGCUGAAGCAACAAAUGCCCUGCUUCCAGGAAAAGCCUCUAAGCAUCAGGUAACAUCAAAUCGUACCCCAAACCGACACAGGUGGUCAGGUAGAGAAUACCAAGGCGCUUGAGAGAACUCGGGUGAAGGAACUAGGCAAAAUGGUGCCGUAACUUCGGGAGAAGGCACGCUGACACGUAGGUGAAGUGAUUUACUCAUGGAGCUGAAGUCAGUCGAAGAUACCAGCUGGCUGCAACUGUUUAUUAAAAACACAGCACUGUGCAAACACGAAAGUGGACGUAUACGGUGUGACGCCUGCCCGGUGCCGGAAGGUUAAUUGAUGGGGUCAGCGCAAGCGAAGCUCCUGAUCGAAGCCCCGGUAAACGGCGGCCGUAACUAUAACGGUCCUAAGGUAGCGAAAUUCCUUGUCGGGUAAGUUCCGACCUGCACGAAUGGCGUAAUGAUGGCCAGGCUGUCUCCACCCGAGACUCAGUGAAAUUGAACUCGCUGUGAAGAUGCAGUGUACCCGCGGCAAGACGGAAAGACCCCGUGAACCUUUACUAUAGCUUGACACUGAACAUUGAGCCUUGAUGUGUAG